ACGAUGAACCAGGCCGCCGCCUGAUCGUCCGCCCGCUGUGACGGAAGGUCAGGAGGAAAGUCCGGGCUCCGCAGGGCAUGAUGCCGGGUAACGCCCGGGAGGAGGGUGCCCAAGCGCCCUUCGACAGACAGCGCAACAGAAAAUAUACCGCCCGGCCUGGCCGGGAAAGGGUGAAAAGGCGGGGUAAGGGCCCACCUCGGCGGUGGUAACACUGCCGGAAAGAUUUCGGCGUAAACCGCUGUUUUUCAGCUUCGCCGGAGAAUGGCAAGCCUCAUCAGGAGCAAAGUUAAGCAGUAACAGGGCGGCCCGCCUUUUGUUACGGGUAAACUGCUCGGGUAAAACCCGGGACGCCGUCCGCAAGGCCGGCGCAAGACAGAUGGCGGCUCGGCGGCGGCUAAGGCCGUUGCCGAAACAGAACCCGGCUUAUGGUUCAUCGUUUUU
rnacentral:RNase_P_RNA from 1 species